rnacentral:misc_RNA from 1 species
GAUGAAGAACGUAGCGAAAUGCGAUAAUUAAUGUGAAUUGCAGAAUUCCGUGAAUCAUCGAGCCUUUGAACGCACAUUGCGCCUCAUGGCAUUCCGUGAGGCAUGCCCAUCUCAGCGUUAGAAAAUAUUCUCAAAUUUUAGUUUUGUGCUAAAAUUUGGAUCAUGUCAAGGAAGCUAUUACUAUUAUUGUGAUCGCUCUUUGGAAAUUGAUAGGUCUUUGAGUUGCUACUCAUAGAACGUGAUGAAUCUUUCUUCGUUCUAUUGUAAUUCACUCUGGUAGUCCUAAAACUUGUAUGCCUGUGGCAUAUCUUGUAAUUUGACCUGAGAUUGGGUAGGGAUACCCGCUGAACUUAAGCAUAUCAAUAAGCGGAGGA